rnacentral:rRNA from 1 species
GACGAAGGGGGCUAGCGUUGUUCGGAAUUACUGGGCGUAAAGCGCGUGUAGGCGGUUAUCCAAGUCGGGUGUGAAGGCCUUGAGCUCAACUCAAGAAAUGCACUCGGUACUGGGUGACUAGAGGACCGGAGAGGAUAGUGGAAUUCCCAGUGUAGUGGUGAAAUACGUAGAGAUUGGGAAGAACACCAGUGGCGAAGGCGGCUAUCUGGACGGUUUCUGACGCUAAGGCGCGAAAGCGUGGGGAGCAAACAGG